rnacentral:rRNA from 1 species
UUUCGCAAUGCCCGAAAGGGUGACGAAGCGACGCCGCGUGGGUGAGGAAGGCCUUCGGGUUGUAAAGCCCUGUCAGGAGUUAAGAAAUGUAAGUGCGCUAAUAUCGCAUUUAUUUGACGAAGGCUCCAAAGGAAGCCACGGCUAACUCUGUGCCAGCAGCCGCGGUAAUACAGAGGUGGCAAGCGUUGUUCGGAAUUAUUGGGCGUAAAGAGCACGUAGGUGGGUUUGUAAGUCAGAUGUGAAAGCCUUCUGUUCAACGGAAGAAUUGCAUCUGAAACUGCGAGUCUUGAGUGUAGGAGGGGAGAAUGGAACUUCUGGUGGAGCGGUGAAAUGCGUAGAUAUCAGAAGGAACGCCGGCGGCGGAAGCGAUUCUCUGGCCUAUUACUGACACUCAGUGUGCGAAAGCUAGGGGAGCAAACGGGAUUAGAUACCCCGGUAGUCCUAGCCGUAAACGAUGGGCACUAAGUAGAGGGGUUUUAA